AUGUGUUCCAAAUCAGCAAGCUCUUCAUUGCAAUAUGUACAUUCAGGGCUCGGAAUCAAGUUGAGCCUCUUCAGGUCUUGACUGAUUGCGGCUUGAUAGUCAGUGUGAGGUAACUUCAACAACGUAGAAUGAUCAACAUCAAAGCCAUUCCUUGCAGCCAGAUCAACAAUUUCAUUCCCCCUGAUGCCACGGUGCGAUGGUACCCAAAGGAAGAGCAGUGUCUUACCAACUACCCCGGGUACUCCAAUAUCACAUAAGAUGGCUAUUAAAAUUGAGGGGACCACGUUAUCGAACGCGCCCUGUACAUCAAGGAAGACACAAGCUGUUGCAGAGUGACCGUCAAGAGAAUUCCUAACAUCUGAGACCAAUGCUGUAAAACUUUCUGCUGCACUUCGGCCUUUCCUAAAUCCGAAUUGUUCAUUUGGAGGAGAUAGAGGAGAAUAUUUCUCAAAAAAAGAGGGAAUCCAUUCAUCAUUCUUCGGCAGUUUGGGAAUUGAAACACGCUUAAACCUCUUCAUAUAGUUCCAUACUGUACUAACAGGAGUAUAUCUAUUAAAAGAUUCACAUAAAGAUUUC